rnacentral:rRNA from 1 species
UGACUGUAGGUGAAAGCUUACAUCUCUUCGGAGCAUUUUACGAGGUGCUGCAUGGUUGUCGUCAGCUCGUGCCGUGAGGUGUCGGGUUAAGUCCCAUAACGAGCGCAACCCCUACUUUAGUUGCCAUCAGGUAAUGCUGGGGACUCUAAAGGAACUGCCUACGCAAGUAGUGAGGAAGGCGGGGAUGACGUCAAAUCAGCACGGCCCUUACGUCCAGGGCUGCACACGUGCUACAAUGGCCGAUACAGAGGGCAGCUACCUGGUGACAGGAUGCAAAAUCUCCAAAGUCGGUCUCAGUUCGGAUCGGAGUCUGCAACCCGACUCCGUGAAGUUGGAUUCGCUAGUAAUCGCGCAUCAGCCAUGGCGCGGUGAAUACGUUCCCGGGCCUU